GAUGGAAGUGGUCAAUAAAAGGGAAAUUGAAGCAAAAAAUUCUGCACUUUAGGUAUGAGUGUGUGCGUAGAACAUCAGGAGAAACACAAAGGGAGCCAAAACCCUUGUUCAUCAAGAAUCACUAAAUUGGUGAUGAAUUUAUGAUCCAAUCUUAUGCAUGAAUGAAGAAUUAUCAUCAUCUCAACCUUACAAACAUAUGUAUAGGAUCAUGUCAAGGUGGGUGGAAGCGUGGAAGGCUAACGGGAAGGAUGCGAGGAAGCAAGUACGAAACGGACGCUUAAGGUUAGUCAGAUAUUCAUGAUGGACAAGUGAACGAGGGUCGAGUUGAAGAUCAUGGAUUGUACGGGAAAGCGGUCACGUUGUUUGUAACUAUUUGUUAACAUAGUUACAUUAAAUAAAUGAU